AACCCCCGACAAUGGGCAAAGAGACACCUCGUUGGUGGUAUUGUUCUUCUAUCAGGGAGGGGCAGAGCAGUUAGCCCUUUGUUUAUCCUAGCUUGAUGCCUGACUUAGUGACCAAAGCAUUGUUUAUGCCUAGGAUUCAUAA